GACUGGCCAAAGUAAGUAGACCAUAAAAACAGCUAUAAAAGAUGUCUCGUGGUGUUUCUUUGUCUGCUUUCUGGACACCUGUAGGGUUCAACCUAGAGACGACGCCAACAUGGAGAGGGGAAGUAAUUGGAUCAUUACAUGUCAAGACACCAAAUUAAAGCUUUUUAAACAAGUUUUCUUUGUUAAAAGGUUUUUUUUUAAGUCGUAUUUUUUCUUAAAUCUUUGUUUCAUCUUCUGGCUCUUGGAGAGUUCAGACACUUUUUUCUUCCUCGCCUCCCUGUCUUUCCCCAAGGCUCUUUGUCUGUCUCUGGGUGUACGGCGCUUCCAGCCUGGGCGGGACUGCGACCGGUGAAGGCCGUUGAAUCGUUUCCAGGAGUCUCUGUGCUCUCUAACCCAAUUACCUCCUUCCCCUGUCCAAACGGAGGUGAUGAGUCUUGCUUAUCGCAGCUGCAUGCACUGAUGUUAGGAGAGUCCCCAACCCUACCUCCCCAUGGAGUGGACACUUAUGUUGUGUGAUUGUCAUGGUUCUGCCUUCUCUCUGCUUCUGCUGCUAUUUCCCCUUCAUUGUUUGCAGGUGAGUGUGUUGGGGAGCAGCAGCAGCAGCUGCAGCAGCUGCAGCUAAUUGCCAUCAGCCUGGCCAGAGGAUUUAAGGAGCGGUGCUGCCACAUCUGAACGCCGGUUGAUACUCUACUGUUGGCCCUGGAUUCCCUCCACCUGCCUGAGGUGUGAUUUAUCACAAGCGUCGUUCAGCUUCCCUGGCCUCCUGCUCUCCACCGCUCACCUGCCUUCCUGGAUCCAGCAUCACCUCCAGCGACCAUCUCCUCCCUGCAUCAACCUGACUUGCCUCUCCCUCCUGCCCCUCGUCCUGCUCAACUCAAGUCGGAGUUGCCUUGUUUCCUGUCCCGUUUGGAUCAGCGCCCUCAGUUUUUGCUUUGUUUUCUUUAUAAAAUAAAGAUUUUAUUAUCAUCUCUUACCUUAUCCCUGAGUGAUACUUCAUGUGGGUUAAGAAAUUACCACCCAUCAUGACAGUUAUGUCUGACGUCUGUUGCAUAUCUGUCUGAGGUGUUUUUUUUUUUUUGCAUAGCAAAGCUGUCCUCCCUGUAGAGGGUAACUGAAGGGCCAUUUUUUUCCUCCACCUGACCCAAUCAUCAUGUAACCCCUCUGAGCUCUAUUAAGGUGGCGUGACUCGGGUUGCGAAUGACCAAGUCACCAAUUCUUGUCAUGUGUGUAUGCCUAUGUAUGUCUGAUCUCAGAAUUGUGUGUACUGAAACUCUAAUUUCCUUC